rnacentral:rRNA from 1 species
AUGAAGAUAUUCAGGGCGCAAGGUAAUCCUUGUGCCACAGCUCCGUAUAUAUUUCUCAUGCAGUUGCUCCUUCUCUGCCUGUGUUUAUUCUGCACCGGUUCCGCCCAAUCCAGCCUUACCAAAUGCCCCGGCAGCUCCAUCAACAUCCCAUCCCCUUUCAACAUCCCUGACAACUCGAGCAUCUCGAGGAAUCCAGGCUUCGACAUAUCAUGUGAAUCAACAGGGCCAAUGAUAUCGCUCGGUCGCAAGCAGUACAGGGUCCUGGGCAUCUCGCUGCUCCAGGGCUAUGUACGUGUAACCGGUCACACCGUCUACACCCAGUGCCAGCAGAACGCUGGCCCGGUGACCACAAACUUCAUUGACCUUCGGGGCACGCCUUUCACCUUCUCACACACACUUAACAAGUUCACCGUCGUUGGCUGUGACUCCAUGGCCAUGAUACAAAGCCCGGACGUAACGAGUCGGUACAGGGGAGGCUGCGUGUCGUUCUGCGCUUCCGAGGGAAGCAUCACCAGUGGCGCAUGCUCUGGGGUGGGCUGCUGUCAAGCUUCAGUGCCCGAGGAACUCAAGGUACUGAAGUUAGAGUUUACCAGCAUACGGAGCCAGCUCCUGCAGUCCUCCGGAUCUUUGGGGAACAUCAGUAAAAGCAGUAGCGCAUGGUGCAGCAAGGCGUUCAUUGUGGACCAAGGUUCCUAUGUGUUCUCCAGGGAUCACUUGGACAGAAACCUGACAAACCUGCCAAUGGUACUUGACUGGUCUAUAUCCGGCGGCAACUGCUCAGAGGCGCGUAGUGCGCCUCAGACCUACAUGUGCAAGGAGAACACCGAUUGUUAUACCGUGGCAAAUAACACUGCAUACCGCUGCAACUGUUCUGAAGGUUUCACUGGGAACCCUUAUCUGGGAUGCCAAGAUAUUGAUGAAUGCAAAGACAAAAAUAAGUAUCCCUGCAUGCACAGGCACAAGUGCAUCAACACAGUUGGUGGUUUUAACUGUGCAUGCCCCAUGGGCAUGACGGGGGAUGGUAAGAAGCAGGGCACUGGGUGCAAAAGAGAUACAACGCUACUGAUUGCUGCAGGUGGAGGCCUGCCUUUGCUGCUUGUCCUCCUCAUGCUCGGAUUCUGGACCCACUGGCUUUUCACGAAGAGAAAGCUUGCGAAGAUAAGACAGAAAUACUUUUUGCAGAAUGGUGGCAUGCUCCUGAAGCAGCAGAUGUUUUCUCAGAGGGCGCCGUUGAGGAUAUUCACCUCUAGCGAGCUUGAAAAGGCAACCAACAGAUUCAGUGAUGACAACAUAGCUGGCCGAGGUGGGUUUGGAACGGUCUACAAAGGCAUACUAUCUGAUCAAAUGGUUGUGGCGAUCAAGAAGGCGCAGCGAGUUGAUCAGAGCCAGGUGGAACAAUUCGUUAAUGAGAUGGUCAUUCUCUCACAAGUGAACCAUGAGAAUGUGGUCCAGCUAGUUGGUUGUUGUCUCGAGUCAGAAGUUCCAUUGUUGGUUUAUGAAUUCAUCACCAACGGGGCCCUUUUUCACCACCUCCACAACACAUCAGCCCCGAUGUCGUGGAAGGAACGCCUAAGGAUUGCAGUGGAAACUGCAACAGCACUUGCCUACUUGCACAUGGCCACAGAAAUGCCAAUUAUUCACAGAGAUGUCAAGUCGUCAAACAUACUCCUUGACGAGAGCUUCACGGCGAAGGUCUCCGAUUUUGGUGCUUCGAGGCCAAUGGCCCAUAAUCAGACCCAUGUGACGACCUUAGUGCAGGGGACACUGGGGUACAUGGACCCUGAGUACUUCCAGACAAGCCAACUGACAGAGAGAAGUGACGUCUAUAGCUUUGGUGUAGUACUUAUCGAGCUAUUGACAAGGCAGAAACCAAUAUUUGGCGGUAAGAUGGAUGAGGUGAGAAGCCUAGCAUUGCAUUUCAGUAUACUAUUCCAUGAGAACCGGUUGUCCGAAAUUGUAGAUCCUCAGAUAGACGAGGAAGCUGGGGCUAGACAUGUUAAAACUGUGGCACAGCUGGCCUUGCGUUGCUUAAGGCUGAAAGGUGAGGAGAGGCCAAGGAUGGUAGAGGUUGCAGUCGAACUUGAAGCGCUGCGAAGACUAAUGAAACAACACUGCAUAGUCAAUUCUGAAGAGUGA